CCUACGGGUGGCAGCAGUGGGGAAUAUUGCACAAUGGGCGCAAGCCUGAUGCAGCCAUGCCGCGUGUAUGAAGAAGGCCUUCGGGUUGUAAAGUACUUUCAGCGGUGAAGAUAAUGACGGUAACCGGAGAAGAAGCCCCGGCUAACUUCGUGCCAGCAGCCGCGGUAAUACGAAGGGGGCUAGCGUUGUUCGGAAUUACUGGGCGUAAAGCGCGCGUAGGCGGAUAGAUAAGUCAGAGGUGAAAUCCCGGGGCUCAACCCCGGAAUUGCCUUUGAUACUGUUUAUCUUGAGUGCAGAAGAGGUAAGUGGAAUUCCGAGUGUAGAGGUGAAAUUCGUAGAUAUUCGGAGGAACACCAGUGGCGAAGGCGGCUUACUGGUCUGCAACUGACGCUGAGGCGCGAAAGCGUGGGGAGCAAACAGGAUUAGAUACCCGCGUAGUC
rnacentral:rRNA from 1 species